rnacentral:lncRNA from 1 species
GGCAAGCAAGUUCUCCGGCGGAGCCCGGGCACAUGGUGAGAGGAAACGAGAGGCAAGGACUUCGCCGCUGCAGCCCCGGCCGUUUGGAUUAAAGAGAGGUUUCUUGACAUGGCAGCCUGAGCAGCCGGAGGGGAAAAAAAAGAAAGGCAGAGGCGGGGGAGGAGGAGGAGGAAUAGAAGAAGAGCACCUCACCAGCUCUUUUUGCCUAUUCAUCAAUUGUGCAUUCUGAAGACAUCCAAGGUUGAGACAAGUGCAUUUUAAAAACAAAAUCUUUGAGUCACUUUCUCCUUCACUUAGUACUUUGCUCCUUGAAGCAGAGAUGACAGAAAUGACACCUCAAAUCAUAGGAGGAAGAUUGGUUGUGCACACCAAUGUUUGAAGACUACUUCAUUAUGUGUGCAGAAGCCACCUUCUCUUUCUGAGGUUUUGCAUAGUUUGGCGCUGAGAUUCUUGGUUUAUUGCUCUACAACAGACCUGGGCCAAGGUAUGGAACUGGUUUCUGUUCUUAGGAGAAUGACAAGCCAGAUUCCACCUUCUUCACUUGUUUCAAAUUUGUUCAACUGCUCUUGUUGAUGAGAUGAGCCAAGUGGAGGUGAUCUGGCAGUUGUAUGAGCCCUAGAAAGGUUGUCAGAUUUCUCGGCCACUUUUGCUUGUCUUUGUAUUUUAAUGCAGCUUCACUUGAACACAUACAUGCCCAGUAUUUAAGAGCAGUAACAUAAUCUCUUGGAAAGCACUUGGAAGGUCAAGAUAUUAUGCCUAGCUUCCUUGUGUUGAAUGAAAUGAAAAGUUCAGUGAAGUACAAGUUGUAGCAAAUGAAACCUGAAAGAAAUGUAAUUUACAAGGAACAAUUCUGACAACAAUUCUU